rnacentral:rRNA from 1 species
CAGCAGCCGCCGCGGGAAUACGAAGGGGGCUAGCGUUGUUCGGAUUUACUGGGCGUAAAGCGCACGUAGGCGAACUUUUAAGUCAGGGGUGAAAUCCCGGGGCUCAACCCCGGAACUGCCUUUGAUACUGGAAGUCUUGAGUAUGGUAGAGGCGAGUGGAAUUCCGAGUGUAGAGGUGAAAUUGGUAGAUAUUCGGAGGAACACCAGUGGCGAAGGCGGCUCACUGGACCAUUACUGACGCUGAGGUGCGAAAGCGUGGGGAGCAAACAGGAUUAGAUACCCGUGUAGUCCCUGUCUCUUAUAU